GACGAACCGUGCGAACGUUAUUCGGAAUCAUUGGGCUUAAAGGGCGCGUAGGCGGAGCGGCGCGUCGGCGUUGAAAGCCCCCGGCUCAACCGGGGAACCGGCGCCGAAACGGCCGCGUCUCGAGGCGAGAAGAGGGACCUGGAACUUCCGGUGGAGCGGUGAAAUGCGUUGAGAUCGGACGGAACACCAGCGGCGAAAGCGAGGUCCUGGGCUCGUACUGACGCUGAGGCGCGAAAGCCAGGGGA
rnacentral:rRNA from 1 species